AUAUACCAGUGGAAUCGGUACAGCUUCCAUCAUUACAGCUUGUUUUUUAACUCCCCCACGCAUAAUAAACCUAUGAACUCCAUUAACUGUAAUCGAUAUGCAUGCAAGGAUGUAAAGGCCUCUGCUUGGCCCUCUCACUGCCUCAAACAAGAAGCCAAAAUGAGUAUGACGCCAAGUCCCAUGCAAGUAAUCAGUAACAUGAGGCAAAAAUAAGGAAACUUUCCUUACAGUUGUAACAAGCAUGGAAUUCAACCCGGACGCCAUGAUGAAGAGAGUCAGGUAAAGAAGAGCUCUCCCAGUGCCUUGGAAAACCAUCCCUGGAGAGGAAUGGUGUAAGAUAAAUCAAUUGACAAUCCACUCAGAAUCUCUUUGACCUUCAAGGGUGUGGCACACAAAAAAGUGACAAAAAUUAUUAAUAAGAAAAUGUAAUGUACAAAAUUUAUGGGAAGAAGAAAGAAAAAGGCCCCAGAUUUUAUCAUUUGAAGCUGAUCUUCCAAGUACCUAUAUUGUGUCAUGUGGCGAUGAA